AGAGCAGACCAAACGCCAAUGCAGAAGGCUCAAGAAAGAGGCAAACAGACUAGCCACUGCUCCAGGAUGACUGUGGCUCUUUAUGAGUGAAGAGAAAGGGUGGAGACUGAAGACAGAACUGGGGACAGUGACAGGCUUGGGGAAGAACAGCUGAUUCAGCAGUCCCAAGGGUGACAUCGCAAAAUACAUGGGUGAAGACAACCUAGUGGCCGUGACUUGGAGCACCCUUCCUCACAAUGAAGGCAUUCUGGGCCAGCCUGAAAAACAGCAUGGAAAUAAAUCACCUAAGUACAAGGGACUGGCUUAAAAAUGGUCUAAUGAAAUGUCAAAAGAGUUCUCCUGUGGAGCUUCGGAGAAGUUUCCUUACCCUUUAAAAAAAGAAAAGAAGAAAAGGAAAAGGUGAUGAUGAUGACACACAGAAGGCAUACACAUUUCCAUUUCUCCCUUUGGAAACUUUCAUGUCUGGGUUGAGAAGUUAACAGAAAGGCAAACAGCCUGAGGUCAAAGAUGACACACUGAGGAUAACAAAAUGGAAAGACAAUCUGAGCUCUUGAUGAUGUGUGACUGAAUGAGCCAAAUUAAACAACUAUAGAGCUGUUCUACUUCCAA
rnacentral:lncRNA from 10 species